AGGUAUAAUUGUUGCACCCCCAUGGAGCAUGGAGAGUCUAUCCACGCCAGGCACCUCGCGCGCGGGGGUUGGGCAGUGGCCUCGGUACUGCCUCACAGGCUGGGCCACGUGCUGCAAUGUAAUUGGCUCAACCAAGGGACAAAAACGUAAUCGACUCAGCUGAGAGAGAGGACCCAAAAUAUCUCUCCCUCCACGUUCUCUCUCUCCCUCCCAAACCUUAUCCUCUCCCGUUCCAAUCUUCCUGGCGGUGGCGGAGGCGACGGAUACCGGAAGAAGCAGCGACGAGUGAGCAGCCAGCGGUGGGGAACGAAGAGCCCUCCCCGGCAUACCCCCUCUCUCUCUCUCUCCAUGUCCUCUCACGGGUGGAGCGCGUCGCGAGCACAAGGGCACAAGGGAGCGGCUCCGGCGGUGGAGCGCGUUUCGAGCGCGGCACAAGCGCCGCCGUGGCGGACGAGCCGUGCCGCCGUGGAGGAUGGACCCCGCCAUGGAGGAUAGGCCGCUGCCGUGGAGGACGGACAGAGGACCGGCAAAGGCACGGGCGUGACGGCGAGAUCGCCAGGGCCGCGCGACCUGGAGGCAUUCCCAGGAAAGGACACUGCAAGGAAGGUGUUGAUUUUGAACAGAUUGUGUCAUCAGGAGGAGAAGCACACGCCAUUGCGGCAUCGCUGGACACAACCAUGAAAGAUGUGAUCUCCUACUUU